AUUGAACGCUGGCGGCAUGCCUUACACAUGCAAGUCGAACGGUAACAGGUCUUCGGAUGCUGACGAGUGGCGAACGGGUGAGUAAUACAUCGGAACGUGCCCGAGAGUGGGGGAUAACGAGGCGAAAGCUUUGCUGAUACCGCAUACGAUCACAGGAUGAAAGCAGGGGACCGCAAGGCCUCGCGCUCACGGAGCGGCCGAUGGCAGAUUAGGUAGUUGGUGGGAUAAAAGCUUACCAAGCCGACGAUCUGUAGCUGGUCUGAGAGGACGGCCAGCCAGACUGGGACUGAGACGCGGCGCAGAAUCCUACGGGAGGCAGCAGUGGGGAAUUUUGGACAAUGGGCGCAAGCCUGAUUCAGCCAUGCCGCGUGCAGGAUGAAGGCCUUCGGGUUGUAAACUGCUUUUGUACGGAACGAAACGGCCCUUUCUAAUACAGGUGGCUAAUGACGGUACCGUAAGAAUCAGCACCGGCUAACUACGUUCCAGCCGCCGCCGUAAUAC
rnacentral:rRNA from 1 species